UUAAGGAGGCAAGAGUGAACCCUCUCCUAAAGAAACCCACAGUCAACCUUUCUGAUGUGAACAACUAUCGACCUGUCUCUCUUCUCCCAUUUCUUUCCAAAAUACUUGAGCGUAUGGUCUUAAAUCAACUCUGGUGAAUCUACCUUCACCAGAAUACCAGUGCUCUCCACCCAGCCCUCACCCACUUAGACACAAAGACCUCAUAUGUUAGGAUGCUGUUCAUAGACUUCAGUUCAGCCUUUAACACCAUCAUCCCCCAGCAGCUAGUUUGUAAGCUAACAAACCUGGGCCUCAUUCCCUCUCUCUGCAACUGGCUGCUGGACUUCCUCACUGCAAGACCACAAUUUGUACGGGUUGACAAUAAUACAUCAGACACCAUCACCCGGUGUACCGGGGACCCCCAAGGAUGUGUGCUCAGCCCCCUGCUCUUCAACCUAAUGACCCGCAACUGCACACCCACCUACAGCUACAACCACAUUGUCAAGUUUGCGGAUGAUACAACUGUAGUGGGUCUCAUCAGCAACAAUGAUGAGACAAACUACAGGAAGGAAGUGAACCAGUUGGCCACAUGGUGUUAUCAACUUCAGGAGAACCCACACCCAACACCCCCACCCACUGACCAACAAUGGUGGAGCAGGUGAGCGCCACCAAACCCCUGGGGGUGAACAUCACUGAGGACCUCUCCUGGAGAAACAACAUCACCUUGCUCACCAAGAAAACCCAGCAGCGCCUCCAAUUCAUCUGCAAACUGAAGAGAGCAGGGGCCCCAACACCCAUUGUAGAGGCUAAGCUAACGCUUUAAGCCACUGAGGUUCCGCUUUGUUGCACUAAUUGUCGUGUCUGCUGAAUUAAGAUUCCGAUACAAACUCUUUCGAUUGAACACUAAGGCCGUGUAUUUCUUGUUGAAUCAGCUUUCCUAUCAGCAAACAAAACAUGACAUUCAGACACACCAUAACUUAGCCUAUGGAGCAAACGCUACCUCAGCCCACUUGUGUAGGUGUGUGUCCGGGUAUGUAUGUGGUCAAAAACUGUUUACCUUCCGGCAGAACACAACCAACAACAAACAUUGGUUCCUACUUAUAGCAGGAGCGCUAAUUGGCUCUUAUACCCAUCAUGCACUCUUUCUACCUAGGCGCCAUCGAGAGAAUCCUCAGCAGCUGCAUCACUGUGUGGUUUGGAAGCUGCACCGCUUCCAACCGCAAGACCCUGCAGCCCAUAGUGAACACUGCUGAGAGGAUUAUUGGUGCCGACACUCCAGGACAUUUUCAACACCCCGCCUUACCCGCAAAGCACUCAGCAUUGUGGGUGACCACACCCCCAUCCCUCCAACUGCCUCUUCAGCCUCCUGCCUUCAGGGAGAAGGUUCCGCAGCCUCCGGUCAAGCUCCACCCAACACAGAAACAGCUUCUUACCCCAGGCUGUCAGGAUGCUAAACUCUCUCCCCUCUCUCCCAUCUCUCCCCCUGCUGCUAAUGGACCUGGAUUUUUUAUUUUAUUUUAUAUACAUAUAUAUUAUUUUAUAUAUUUAUUGUAGUGACCUCUUUUUUAAUAUACUUCUUUAUGUGUGUAUUUGUAUAUAUGUGUGUAUGUGUGUGUGUGUGUAUAUAUAUAUAUAUAUAUAUAUAUAUAUAUAUAUAUAUAUAUGUGUGUAUAUCUAUUUAUAUAUUCUUUAUUUUGUGGGGACUGUGAGAAAUGGCAUUUUGAUCUCCCUGUUUGUAUCACACAGAGAAAUUGACAAUAACAUUGACUUUGACUUGACAACCUUCUUGAUCCGCACCAAUCUGGUUUCAAAGCCACUCAACUGAAACUGCCCUCCUCGCUGUCACUGAGGAACUUCACGCUGCUGCAUCAGCCUCCCUCUCAAGCAGAUUGAGAACCAAACUGACCGACAGCCAUCUCUGUGAUGUCCUUCGCAUCUCAACCACCAAACUCACUCCUGAUCUGCCAGCCAUCCUUCAGUCAGCAUCACUGCUCCCAUUGAGUGCAACGCUGUUCCCAUUGUAGGGCUGUGAAGGGGGUCCCCAUCCUGACGAAGAAGCAAUAUGAGGCUGCUGUUUUGAGAAUGAGCUGCCAACCCUUUUUGUAAAAAAGAAAUAGAAAAAUUAAAACCCAUUAAUGGAGAGAUGUGAUUUAUGCUGUUUUUUUUCUUUAACUAUAUUAAAUUAUCAAGCAUAAUUUACCUACAUUUGAUUGAUUGAUUUGUAUUACUGUUAAUACACUAGAGGUGAGGCGAU